UAGUGGAGUAGACCACAUUAUUUAGCUUUACCUUAAAAAGAUGAAAUAAACAAAAAUAAAAACUCUGUAAUUAGAACUCAGUUCUCUGAAAAUUCCAUCUCUCCUUCUCAAAACCUUGAAAACCCUAGACCUUAUCUCUCAAACCCGUAAGAUCCCUAAAUCUUCAUCUCUCAAGAUUUCAUUUUUUCGAUUUCUUCUUAUAUUGUUAGAGAGACAUGGGUAGCCGUUGGAUGGAGUACUGAUGUUCUUCCUUCUGCAAAGUUGUUGAAUAUUGCAUUGUUCUUAAAUCAGAUACAAGUUUGUGGGCUGAUUUUUGAGUACAAGUGAAGGUCCAAGUAUAUUCAAACAGCAAGAUUUUGAACACAAAGUGCAGAGAAUUUUCACCUUAAUGAAAUAUAUGAAAAAUACCUUUAACAAAAAAUUUCCUCGAAUAAUAGAGUCCAUAUGAAGAUGCUACACUAGGAGAAAUUUUGUUCCCUUAGAGGCUGUACAGAGUUUAACCAUUGCACCAAGAGUUCUCAGGGCGAAGUGGAUGCAGAAAUGAAGAUUUGUUGAAUAUGAAGAUAUUUUACCAAGGCAGUUUCAUAGUAGAAAAAAAGGCUUAGCAGAGGGGAUUCAAACCACAACAAAAACAUCGGCCUCUUACACUAGACAUUAUUCCUGCAGACAAAAGCUAAUACAACAUUUAUCCAAUUAUGUUCCUUACUGCUACAAAACUAAGUUAUUUCUUUACGAUUGUUGGUUGAUCUAAUUUUUGCCUUUAAAGUAAUAUUUUUAACUUAUUAUAUUAGUUUAAUUACUCACUUUGGAAUGUAUUAAAUAUACUAGUAUAGCGAGGAUAUUUAGAUGGUUGUACUAUGUAAAGUUCAUAUUCAGAAAUAUGUUGGAGGUAAGGUAUAUGUCCCCCUCCUUGUAUUUGACAUGUUAAUGAAAUCUACAUCAAGGUCUCAAUGAUUUAACCUUGAUGUGUAUAU